rnacentral:lncRNA from 1 species
CUGGCGGUUGGCAAUUCUGACUCUGCAUCGGGUGAAGUGAGUCAUGUAACAGGUUUGAAGGAAGCUGAAACAGAAAAGGAGGAGCAGAAAGAAAACAUCGAUACUGCUCCAGAAGAGAAGGGUCAAGCAACCAUCUUAAAAGAUGAAACGGCCUCGGAAGUUGAAGAUAUUGGUGUACAAGCAGAGGAAAAUUGUGAAUCAAAAGAGAAUUUGGAGGAGCAUAUUCCAACAGCAGCAGAUGAGGGUGAAGCAUUCUCGAAGGAAGCCGAUGUGCAAGCAGAGAAAAAUGAAAAAUCCUUCGACGUGGAAGAUACCAAUGUGCAAGCAGAGAAAAAUGUCGAAUCAAAUGAGAACUUGAAGGAGAAUAUUCCAAGAGCAGCAGAUGAAGGUGAAACAUUUCCGAAGGAAGCUGAAGCAGAAAGCAAGGAUGAGAUUAAAAAUGACGAUAUUGUUCAUCCAGAUAUUGAUGGAGACGGAGAUGAAAUCGAUAGUUCUGAAGAGAACUUGGAUAAGCAGAUUCCAGCAGGGGAAUGUGAAACAAGCUUGAAAGCAGCCGAAGCAGAAUAUAAGGAGCAGGUCAUUCAUGCUGAUAUUGCUCCUGAAGAGAAGGGUCUAGCAACCAUCUUAACAGAUGAAACACCCAAGGACUGUGUCGAAUCAAAAGAGAAAGUGGAGGAGCAGAUUACAACAGCAGAUGAAGGCGAAAAAAGUACUUAUAUUUCUCCUGAAGAUAGUGAAGUACAAGAAGAUGAAAAUUUUAUUACACUAGAGAAUUUGGAGAAGCCGAUUCGAACAACAUCAGGUGAACGAGAAACAGGCUUGGGAGAAGCUGAAGCAGAAAUUAAGGAGCAGGUCAAAAGUAUUGAUAUUGUUCCUGAAGAGAUGGCAACCAUCUCAACAACUGAGACACCCUUGGACGUUGAAGAUAUCGGUGUACAAGCAGAGGAAACUCUCAAAUCAAAAGAGAACGUGGAGGAGCAUAUUCCAACAGCAGCAGAUGAAGGUGAAAAAUUCUUGAAGGAAGCCGAAGCAGAAAACAAGGCGCAGAUUGACGAGGAAACUUUGAAUUCACAAGAAUCCUCAGACAAAGAAAAAGAAGAAGUGACUGAAAUUACAAACACAAAAGAUGACACUGAAAGGGAGGAGGUAAGAUCGGAAUAAACUUUUUUAUGAGUUUUUCUCUCUGGCUUAUCAUCUGUUUAGUUAUUGACCGAUAUGCAGGAUUCAUAACGUAUCACUGAUAAAUAUGAAUAUGCGAAAAUACGAUGGUUUAUUUUUAAUAUGGUACAAACGAUUUCUAAAAUCUAUUUUCUCCUUAUAUAUUAUGACGGUUUCAUCUCUAAUGUAGGUGCUUGAGACUACCAGCACGGAGCAAGAAACUGGAGAACAUGUGGUACACGAAAUUCAUAGAGUCCCAGAACCUCCUCGAGAUUCCAUUGAUAAAGAAACAAAUGAAGACAACUCCGCGGAAUAUCAGGUUUACCUGGACACAAACAUAAAGCCUACAAGUGCUGUCCUUUUUCUUCGUCUCCCAGUACAUAACCUAUGUUUUUUUUCCCUUCCAAUGUUAGGCAUGUACUGAGGUAGCUGAUGUGAGUACAAGUGCAGAGGAAAAGAACUUAGAGGAACAUGCCAUUCGGGAACUCUCUUCUCCACUGGUAGUAGAAGAAGCAACUAAAGAAAUCCCGGAAGUUGAAAGGCAGGACAAAAACAUUGAUACUGCACCUGAAGAAAAGGGUCAAGCAACCAUCUCAGCAGAUGAAAUGGCCUCGGAAGUUGAGGAUAUUGAUGUACAAUUAAAGGAGAAUCUUGAGUCAGAAGAGAACUUGGAGGAACAAUUUCUGAUAGCAGCAGAUGAAGGUGAAAUAAUCUCCAAAGAUGCCAAAGCAGAAAACCAGGAGCAGAUAAAAAAUGUUGAUAUUGCUCAUGAAGAUGUUGAUGCACAAGCGGAGAAAACUGUCAACUCAGAAGAGAACAUAGAUAAGCAGAUUCCUUCAAUAGCACAUGAAGGUGAAACAAGCUUGAAAGAAACCGCUGUCUUGAUUCUAAAAGAAGAGGUUAGCAUGAUAUAAGAAUUUUCGAUUUUUUUCAUUAUAGUCUAUUGCAUUACAUAUUCCAAUCAAGAAUUGAUAUCCCCUGCAGAAAAAGGAAGAAGAUACAGAAUGUAACGAGCCUUCUGAGGUAGCGAGUAUGACACAUGAAACACGAACUGAAACCACAGAGGACAUAACAGAGCCAAAUAAGGACCUCAAUGCUCCAAUUUCAGGAGAAAGCAACAAAACAUUUGUUGAAAAUAUUUCCACUCUCGCUGAGGUAUCUGAGAUGGAGACUGAGAAAAAUGGCCUGGCUGUCAGCAAUUCUGACUCUGCGUCGGGUGAAGUGAGUCAUGUAACAGGUUUGAAGGAAGCUGAAACAGAAAAGGAGGAGCAGAAAGAAAACAUGGAUACUGCUCCGGAAGAGAAGGGUCAAGCAACCAUCGUAAAAGAUGAAAUGGCCUCGGAAGUUGAAGAUAUUGGUGUACAAGCAGAGGAAAAUUGUGAAUCAAAAGAGAAGUUGGAGGAGCAUAUUCCAACAGCAGCAGACAAGGUUGAAACAUUCUCAAAGGAAGCCGAGGCAGAAAAUGAGGAGCAGAUAAACAAUGGUGAUGUUGCUGCUGAAGAGAAGGUUUCGGAAACCAUCUUAACAAAUGAAAGAACCUUCGACGUGGAAGAUACCAAUGUGCAAGCAGAGAAAAAUGUCGAAUCAAAUGAGAACUUGGAGGAGACUAUUCCAACAGCAGCGGAUGAAGGCGAAACAUCCCUGCAGGAAGCUGAAGCAGAAGGCAAGGAUGAGAUUAAAAGUACUGAUAUUGCUCAUGCAGAUACUGAUGGACAUGGAGAUGAAAUUGAUAAUUCUGAAGAGAACUUGGAUAAGCAGAUCCCAGCAGGCGAACGUGAAAUAAGCUUGAAAGCAGCCGAAGCAGAAUAUAAGGAGCAGGUCAAACAUGCUGAUAUUGUUCCUGAAGAGGAGGGUCUAGCAACCGUCUUAACAGACGAAACACCCUUAGAUGUCGAGGAUAUUGAGGUAAAAACUGACUGUGUCGAAUCAAAAGAGAAUGUGGAGGAGCAGAUUCCAACAACAGUAGAUGAAGGCGGAAAAAGUACUUAUAUUUCUCCUGAAGAUAUUGAAGUACAAGCAGAUGAAAAUUUUAUUACACUAGAGAAUUUGGAGAAGCCAAUUCUAACAACAUCAGGUGAACGAGAAACAGGCUUGGGAGAAGCUGAAGCAGAAAUUAAGGAGCAGGUCAAAAGUAUUGAUAUUGUUCCUGAAGAGAUGGCAACCAUCUCAACAGCUGAGACACCCUCGGAUGUUGAAGUUAUCGGUGUACAAGCAGAGGAAAGCCUCAAAUCAAAAGAGAGCGUGGAGGAGCAGAUUCCAACAGCAGCGGAUGAAGAUGAAAGAUUCUUGAAGGAAUCCAAAGCAGAAAACAAGGAGCUGAUCGACGAGGAAAAUUUGAAUUUACAAGAACAAGUGACUGAAAUUACAAACACAAUAGAAGAUGACACUGAAAGGGAGGAGGUAAGAUCGGAAUAAAUUUUUUUAUGAGUUUUUCUCUCUGGCUUACCAUCUGACAAGUAGUCUCCCUACACGGUUUUGUUAUUGAUUAAGAUGCAAGAUUCAUAACGUAUCACAGAUGCAUAUGAACAUGCGAAGAAACUAUGUUUUAUUUUAAAAUGGUAAGAACGAUUUCUAAAAUCUAUUUUCUCCUUAUAUAUUAUGAUGGUUUCAUCUCUAAUGUAGGUGCUUGAGACUACCAGUACGGAGCAAGAAACUGGAGAACAUGUGGUACACGAAAUUCAUACUGUCCCAGAACCCCCUCGAGACUCCAUUGAUAAAGAAACAAAUGAAGACAACUCCGCGGAAUAUCAGGUUUACCUGGACACAAACAUAAGGCCUACAAAAGUGUGAUCCUUUUUCUUCGUCUCCCAGUACAUAACCUUUGUUUUUUUUUUCCCUUCCAAUGUUAGGCAUGUACUGAGGCAGCUGAUUUGAGUACAAGUGCAGAGGAAAAGAACUUAGAGGAACAUGCCAUUCGGGAACUCUCUUCUCCACUGGUAGUAGAAGAAGCAACUAAAGAAAUCCCGAAAGAAGAAGAAACCUACCCCACGCUUCUAGAAGAAGAGGUAAUCUAGCAUUCAAUAUCAAAUUUUUAGAUUAAAAUACACUAUAGUAUUAUCUUGCAAAUUGAAAUUUACAACUCAUAUCGGCAACAGGAAAAGGAAGGGCAUGCAACAUGUAACAAGCCCAAUGAGGAAUAUGAGGCAGAGAUUGAGAAAAAUAUUCAGGAGAAAGAUGGCAACACAGUUAGCAAUUCUGAAUCUCUGUCUGGAGAACUGAGUCAUGUAACAGCCUUGAAGGAAUGUGAAACAGAGAUUGAAAGGCAGGACAGGAACAUUGAUACUGCUCCUGAAGAGAAGGGUCAAGCAACCAUCUCAGCAGAUGAAACAGCCUCGGAAGUUGAGGAUAUUGAUGUACAAUUAAAGGAGAACCUUGAGUCUAAAGAGAACUUGGAGGAACAAUUUCCAACAGCAGCAGAUGAAGGUGAAAUAAUCUUGAAAGAAGCUGAAGCAAAAAACCAGGAGCAGAUAAAAAAUGUUGAAAUUGCUCAUGAAGAUGUUGAUGCACAAGCGGAGAAAACUGUCAACUCAGAAGAGAACAUAGAUAAGCAGAUUCUGCCAAUAGCACAUGAAGGUGAAACAAGCUUGAAAGAAACCGCUGUCUUGAUUCUAAAAGAAGAGGUUAGCAUGAUAUCAGAAUUUUCGAUUUUUACAUUAUAGUUCAUUGUAUUACAUAUUCCAAUCAAGAAUUGGUAUCCCCCUGCAGAUAAAGGAAGAAGAUACAGAAUGUAAUGAGCCUGCUGAGGUAGCGAGUAUGACACAUGAAACACGAUCUGAAACCACAGAGGACAUAACAGAGCCAAAUAAGGACGUCAAUGCUCCAAUUUCAGGAGAAAGCAACAAAACAUUUGUUGAAAAUAUUUCCACACUCGCUGAGGUAUCUGAGACGGGGACUGAGAAAAAUGUUCAGGAGAAAAAUGGCCCGGCUGUCAGCAAUUCUGACUCUGCGUCAGGUGAAGUGAGUCAUGUAACAGGUUUGAAGGAAGCUGAAACAGAAAAGGAGGAGCAGAAAGAAAACAUUGAUACUGCUCCGGAAGAGAAGGUUCAAGCUACCGUCUUAAAAGAUGAAAUGGCCUCGGAAGUUGAAGAUAUUGGUGUACAAGCAGAGGAAAAUUGUGAAUCAAAAGAGAAGUUGGAGGAGCAUAUUCCAACAGCAGCAGACAAAGUUGAAACAUUCUCAAAGGAAGCCGAGGCAGAAAAUGAGGAGCAGAUAAACAAUGGUGAUGUUGCUGCUGAAGAGAAGGUUUCGGAAACCAUCUUAACAAAUGAAAGAACCUUCGACGUGGAAGAUACCAAUGUGCAAGCAGAGAAAAAUGUCGAAUCAAAUGAGAACUUGGAGGAGACUAUUCCAACAGCAGCGGAUGAAGGCGAAACAUCCCUGCAGGAAGCUGAAGCAGAAAGCAAGGAUGAGAUUAAAAGUACUGAAGCAGAAAGCAAGGAUGAGAUUAAAAGUGCUGAUAUUGUUCCUGAGGAGAAGGGUCUAGCAACCGUCUUAACAGAUGAAACACCCUUAGAUGUCAAGGAUAUUGAGGUAAAAACUGAGGACUGUGUUGAAUCAAAAGAGAAUGUGGAGGAGCAGAUUCCAACAACAGCAGAUGAAGGCGAAAAAAGUACUUAUAUUUCUCCUGAAGAUAUUGAAGUACAAGCAGAUGAAUUUAUUACACUAGAGAAUUUGGAGAAGCCGAUUCUAACAUCAGGUGAACGAGAAACAGGCUUGGGAGAAGCUGAAGCAGAAAUUAAGGAGCAGGUCAAAAGUAUUGAUAUUGUUCCCGAAGAGAUGGCAACCAUCUCAACAGCUGAGACACCCUCGGAUGUUGAAGUUAUCGGUGUACAAGCAGAGGAAAGCCUCAAAUCAAAAGAGAACAUGGAGGAGCAGAUUCCAACAGCACCAGAUGAAGGUGGAAAAUUCUUGAAGGAAUCCAAAGCAGAAAACAAGGAGCUGAUCGACGAGGAAAAUUUGAAUUCACAAGAAUCUUCAGACAAAGGAAAACAAGAAGUGACUGAAACUACUAACACACUAGAAGAUGACACAGCAAGGGAGGAGGUAAGAUUGGAAUAAACCUUUUCAUGAAUUUUUCUUUCGGUCUUAUCAUCCGACAAGUAGUUUCCUUAACGCGGUUUAGUUAUUGACCGAAAUGCAGGAUUCAUAACGUAUCACUGAUAGAUAUGAACAUGCGAAAAAACAAAGUUUUAUUUAAAAUGGCACAAACGAUUUGUAAAAUCUAUUCUCUCCUACAUAUUACGACGGUUUCAUCUUUAAUGUAGGUGCUUGAGAAUACCUGCACGGAGCAAGAAACUGGAGAACAUGUGGUACACGAAAUUCAUACUGUCGUGGAAACCCCUCGAGAUUCCGUUGAUAAAGAAACAAAUGAAGAGAACUCCGCGGGAUAUCAGGUUUACCUGGACACAAACAUAAAGCCUACAAAAGAGUUAUCCUUUUUCUUCGUCUCCCAGUGCAUAACCUUUGUGUUUUUUUCCUUCCAAUGUUAGGCAUGUACUGAUGCAGCUGAUUUGAGUACAACUGCAGAGGAAAAGAACUUAGAGGAACAUGACAUUCAGGAACUCUCUUCUCCGCUGGUGGUAGAAGAAGAAACUAAUGAAAUCCCGAAGGAAGAAGAAACCUACGCCACGCUUCUAGAAGAAGAGGUAAUCUAGCAUAGGAUAUCAAAAUUUUAGAUUAUUACAUUAUAGUAUUAUCUUGCAAAUUCAAAUUUACAGUUCAUAUCCACAACAGAAAAAGGAAGGGCAUGCAACAUGUAACGAGCCGACUGAGAAAUAUGAGGCAGAGAUUGAGAAAAAUAUUCAGGAGAAAGAUGGCAACACAGUUAGCAAUUCUGAAUCUCUGUCUGGAGAACUGAGUCAUGUAACAGCCUCGCAUGAAUCUGAAACAGAGAUUGAAAGGCAGGACAAAAAUAUUGAUACUGCUGCUGAAGAGAAGGGUCAAGCAACCAUCUUGAAAGAAAACAUUGAUACUGCUCCGGAAGAGAAGGGUCAAGCAACCAUCUUGAAAGGUAAAGCGGCCUCGGAAGUUGAAGAUAUUGGUGUACAAGCAGAGGAAAAAUGUGAAUCAAAAGAGAAUUUGGAGGAGCAUAUUCCAACAGCAGCAGACAAGGUUGAAACAUUCUCGAAGGAAGCUGAGGCAGAAAAUGAGGAGCAGAUAAACAAUAGUGAUGUUGCUGCUGAAGAGAAGGUUCUGGAAACCAUCUUAACAAAUGAAAAAUCCUUCGACGUGGAAGAUACCAAUGUGCAAGCAGAGAAAAAUGUCGAAUCAAAUGAGGACUUGGAGGAGAAUGUUCCAACAGCAGCAGAUGAAGGUGAAACAUUCCCGAAGGAAGCUGAAGCAGAAAGCAAGGAUGAUAUUAAAAAUGCUGAUAUUCCUCAUGCAGAUAUUGAUGGACACGGAGAUGAAAUCGAUAGUUCUGAAGAGAACUUGGAUAAGCAGAUUCCAGCAGGGGAAUGUGAAACAAGCUUGAAAGCAGCCGAAGCAGAAUAUAAGGAGCAGGUCAUACAUGCUGAUAUUGCUCCUGAAGAGAAGGGUCUAGCAACCAUCUUAACAGAUGAAACACCCUUAGACUUUGAGGAUAUUGAGGUAAAAACUGAGGACUGUGCUGAAUCAAAAGAGAAUGUGGAGGAGCAGAUUCCAACAACAGCAAAUGAAGGUGAAAAAAGUACUUAUAUUUCUCAUGAACAUAUUGAAGUACAAGCAGAUGAAAAUUUUAUUACACUAGAGAAUUUGGAGAACCCGAUUCCAACAACAUCAGGUGAACGAGAAACAGGCUUGGGAGAAGCUGAAGCAGAAAUUAAGGAGCAGGUCAAAAGUAUUGAUAUUGUUCCUGAAGAGAUGGCAACCAUCUCAACAACUGAGACACCCUUGGAUGUUGAAGAUAUCGGUGUACAAGCAGAGGAAACUCUCAAAUCAAAAGAGAACGUGGAGGAGCAUAUUCCAACAGCAGCAGAUGAAGGUGAAAAAGUCUUGAAGGAAGCCGAAGCAGAAAACAAGGAGCAGAUUGAUGAGGAAACUUUGAAUUCACAAGAAUCCUCAGACAAAGACAAAGAAGAAGUGACUGAAAUUACAAACACAAAAGAUGACACUGAAAGGGAGGAGGUAAGAUUGGAAUAAUUUUUUUUAUGAGUUUUUCUUUCUGGCUUAUCAUCUGGCUAGUAGUCUCACUAUACGGUUUAGUUAUUGACCCAAAUGCAGGAUUCAUAGCGUCUCUCUGAUAGCUAUGAAUAUGCGAAAAUAAGAUGGUUUAUUUGAAUAUGGUACAAACGAUUUCUAAAAUCUAUUUUCUCCUUAUAUAUUAUGACUGUUUCAUCUCUAAUGUAGGUGCUUGAGACUACCAGUACGGAGCAAGAAACUGGAGAACAUGUGGUACACGACAUUCAUACUGUCCCAGAACCCCCUCGAGAUUCCAUUGAUAAAGAAACAAAUGAAGACAACUCCGCGGAAUAUCAGGUUUACCUGGACACAAACAUAAAGCCUACAAGUGCUAUCCUUUUUCUUCGUCUCCCAGUACAUAACCUAUGUUUUUUUUCCCUUCUAAUGUUAGGAAUGUACUGAGGCAGCUGAUUUGAGUACAAGUGCAGAGGAAAAGAACUUAGAGGAACAUGCCAUUCAGGAACUCUCUUCUCCGCUGGUAGUAGAAGAAGCAACUAACGAAAUCCCAAUGGAAGAAGAAACCUACACUACACUUCUAGAAGAAGAGGUAAUCUAGCAUUCGAUAUCAAAUUUUAGAUUAAAAUACACCAUAGUAUUAUCUUGCAAAUUGAAAUUUACAACUCAUAUUGACAACAGGAAAAGGAAGCGCAUGCAACAUGUAAUGAGCCCAAUGAGGAAUAUGAGGCAGAGAUUGAGAAAAAUAUUCAGGAGAAAGAUGGCAACACAGUUGGCAAUUCUGAAUCUCUGUCCGGAGAACUGAGUCAUGUAACAGCUUUGAAGGAAUCUGAAACAGAGAUCGAAAAGCAGGACAAAAACAUUGAUACUGCUCCUGAAGAGAAGGGUCAAGCAACCAUCUCAGCAGAUGAAACGGCCUCGGAAGUUGAAGAUAUUGAUGUACAAUUAAAGGAGAAUCUUGAGUCAGAAGAGAACUUGGAGGAACAAUUUCCUAUAGCAGCAGUUGAAGGUGAAAUAAUGUCGAAAGAAGCCGAAGCAGAAAACAAGGAGCAGAUAAAAAAUGUUGAUAUUGCUCAUGAAGAUGUUGAUGCACAAGCAGAGAAAACUGUCAAUUCAGAAGAGAACAUAGAUUAUCAGAUUCAGCCAAUAGCACAUGAAGGUGAAACAAGCUUGAAAGAAGCCGAAGCAGAAGAUAAGGAACAGGUCACAUAUGCUGAUAUUGCUCCUGAAGAGAAGGGUCUAGCAACCAUCUUAACAGAUGAGACACCCUUGGAAGCAGAAGAUAUUGGUGUAAAAGCAGAGGAAAGUUUCGAAUCAAAAGAGAAGUCUGAGGAGAAAAUCCAAUCGCAGCUGAUGAAGAUGAAACAUUCUUGAAGGAAGCCGAAGCAGAAAACAAGGAGCAGAUAAAAUAUAGUGAUAUUACUCCUGAAGACAAGGGUCUAGCAACCAUCUUAACAGAUGAAAAGGCUUUGAACAUUGAAGAUAUUGGUUUACAAGCGGAUGAAACUUUCAACACGAGCGAGAACUUGGAGAGUAAGAUUCCAUCAACAGCAGAUGAACAUGAAACAAGCUUGAAAGAAGCCGAAGCAAUAAAUACGGAGCAGUUCAAAUAUACUGAUAUUGUUCCUGAAGAGAAGGGUCUUGCAAACAUUGUAAUGGAUGAAACAUCUUUGGACGUGGAAGAUAUUGAUGUAAAAUCUGAUGAAGUUUCCAAAUCAAAAGAGAACGUGGAAGAGAAGAUUCCAAGUGCAUCACAUGAGCGUGGAACAUUCUUGAAUGAAGCUGAAGCAGAAAGCAAGG